AGAGUUUGAUCAUGGCUCAGAACGAACGCUGGCGGCGUGCCUAACACAUGCAAGUCGAGCGAGAAAGGGAGCAAUCCUGAGUACAGCGGCGCACGGGUGCGUAACACGUGGGUAAUCUUCCUCCGGGUUGGGAAUAACCCUUCGAAAGGAGGGCUAAUACCGAAUAAGCCCACGGCCUCUUCGGAGGCUGAGGGAAAAGG
rnacentral:rRNA from 1 species